rnacentral:lncRNA from 1 species
AUUAACUGCAGUAGGGCAGUACUCUGGUCUGAUAGUGCUUUUGUGCACUGCAAUCUGUUAUGAAAGGAUUAGGCAAUCAAGCAGCUGUUUUGAGAUACCCUGCAGUACAUGAAUCCUGUCUUACCAUUUACCAUAAGGGCAAAGAUGUUGCUGAAGAAACGAAAGAAAUGCCUGUUUAUAAUGAGUUCAAUUCCUGAUUUGGUGAAUCUAAAUCGAGUUUCUUUAUAUGUUGUAUCUGCAGUAACUCACAGUGAAGUAGAGAGACUGUGAACUAAAACAAAUACAUGUAGAAAAAAGUACAAAAGUGCUUUAGAAAAAAGGCAAGGUAAUGCUUGCUUUUCCAGGAGAACAGAAUUGUAAGAGGAAGAAAGGAAGGCAUUGUAAAAAAUGAUUUUGUGACAGCAAUCCCUGUCUUUAUUGUUUCUGCAGAUUUCAAGAAUUUCAGAAGGAAUGUGUGGAUUGCUCGUUGUGUAGUUGGAUUUUGAAAAGUCUGGAACUUCUGAAGCUGAAAUGCACAAAGAGGUAACAGCAACAUUAUGUUUGUUCUGUAGAGUAAUGCAUAUGCAAUUUAAUAUGAAUUCAAAGUCCCAAAAGCUGCCUCGUUUAUGGAGGGUAAUUUUAUUUUUUUUCACUUUACAGAAAGAGAAGAUGAGACUAGAUGACGAUUAUAACUUCUUAUGGCUUCAGUGAGAAGACACAAAGAGCAGAAUAAAGUUCCUCCAUAGAUACAGUCCAGGAGUGCCUUGUGAGAACUGCCAAACCUUAUACAUCUUUGAGGUGGGAAAGAGGGGAAGAGAAAUGGCAUUUGACAAAAGGAUCACUCUGGAGACUCUGUGAAUCACAGCAUCUACAGGGAGGACCAGGGAUGGAGAAAGUGGCAGAUCAGAAGAUGCUGGAAUUGGUGAAAGGGAGCUCAACACAGGAAAGGAGGCAACUCAAGGAGGAAAAGCAUUACAGUAUUUUGUAGGAACAUCAGGGAAGAAGCUGGAAAAUCUGGAGGAAGCUGGAGAAUGUUGAGUCUAAGCUGAGGAAGAAGAGACACUGCAGAAAAACAAAUGCUUUCUGAGGUGAGGAGAACUUACUGACCUGUUUAUUUUUACAUCCACGAGGAAUAUGAUGCUACUGCUGUCACUGCUACUUUUGGUACUGACAUGAUACAGUAGUAAUGGGAGCAAAAGUAGGUGUCAGACUUGAAACAAAACAAAGAACACAACAGCUUUCAUUCAUAUCUCUAGAGUCCCCAGCAAGCAAAACUAUUUUGUUAAUAUUUUAUUGUUAUUAGUCAUAAGUUCAGCAAGGGA